rnacentral:rRNA from 1 species
AGUGGACGCUGGCGGUAGGCCUAACACAUGCAAGUCGAACGGCAGCACAGUAAGAGCUUGCUCUUACGGGUGGCGAGUGACGGACGGGUGAGGAAUACAUCGGAAUCUACUUUUUCGUGGGGGAUAACGUAGGGAAACUUACGCUAAUACCGCAUACGACCUACGGGUGAAAGCAGGGGAUCUUCGGACCUUGCGCGAUUGAAUGAGCCGAUGUCGGAUUAGCUAGUUGGCGGGGUAAAGGCCCACCAAGGCGACGAUCCGUAGCUGGUCUGAGAGGAUGAUCAGCCACACUGGAACUGUGACACGGUCCAGACUCCUACGGGAGGCAGCAGUGGGGAAUAUUGGACAAUGGGCGCAAGCCUGAUCCAGCCAUACCGCGUGGGUGAAGAAGGCCUUCGGAUUGUAAAGCCCUUUUGUUGGGAAAGAAAAGCAGCAGGUUAAUACCCCGCUGUUCUGACGGUACCCAAAGAAUAAGCACCGGCUAACUUCGUG